rnacentral:other from 1 species
CGAUCCCUGCGGUGUGCGUGAUGACGCUGAUGUUUUGAGCCAACACCAGUGAGAGAGGGAAUCUGGUUUCAGUUUGAUGCGGGGCGAGCCCGAGGGCCUCGUGCCCACGAAGCGAGCGUCGUGUCUCCACUGAGCAGACAACCGACCUGUAUGCCAAUACAGGUUCAAAACUCCAAGUCACACGGCAUCUGCGGGGAUUCU